GAGAGAACUCGUAAGCAGGACCAAUAUUGCCGCUGGCAUCGGUAGAUGUUAGGAUGGCAUUCAUGUCUGGAACGUUCGGAUUGUUCUUCCGUCC
rnacentral:tRNA from 1 species